CCUACGGGGGGCAGCAGUGGGGAAUAUUGCACAAUGGGGGAAACCCUGAUGCAGCGACGCCGCGUGAGUGAAGAAGUAUUUCGGUAUGUAAAGCUCUAUCAGCAGGGAAGAAAUAGCGACCUUUGGGUCGCCAGACGGUACCUGAUUAAGAAGCCCCGGCUAACUACGUGCCAGCAGCCGCGGUAAUACGGUGGGGGCAAGCGUUAGCCGGAGUUACUGGGUGUAAAGGGAGCGUAGACGGCAGCGUAAGUCUGAAGUGAAAUGCCGGGGCUUAACCCCGGAACUGCUUUGGAAACUGUGCAGCUAGAGUGCAGGAGAGGUAAGUGGAAUUCCUAGUGUAGCGGUGAAAUGCGUAGAUAUUAGGAGGAACACCAGUGGCGAAGGCGGCUUACUGGACUGUAACUGACGUUGAGGCUCGAAAGCGUGGGGAGCAAACAGGAUUAGAUACCCCUGUAGUC
rnacentral:rRNA from 1 species